AGUUUGUGGACGCUAAAAAGGGCUUUGUCACUUCAAAUUGUAUUAAAAUUCAUGCUUAACGUUUCUGUGUUAGUUUAAUCACUCAGAAAGGUAUUGGUAUCAUCUUUGUGAAAUCUUCAUCAAUAGCUCAACCCUUAGAGUUAUAGCAACUCUUUGGUUAUAGGUUGUGGUACUUAUAUGGAACUAGACUCUUACACUGAUAGAAGAAACAACCCCAUUACUGGAGAUCAAGGAAAAUGAUCUUU